GUCCCUAUUUUGUGACCUGGGCUUUUCAUAUGGGUCACCCUCAUCCUGGUCGCUGCCUUCCCUGCUAGAGGCUUUAAAGUUUAGUUUUUAUAAAGACAAAAAUGUGUAGAAAUGAAAUGAUGGGGUGGGGUAACUGCUGCACUCCCAUAAAACCUUAUUUUCUGUUGCCACAUACGGUGGCUUUUGAUCUGAAAACCAAGACAGUAGUAGUCGCUUACGUCAGAAAAACACCCCUUAAAGUCAAAGGUUCACUCAGCUGAUGAAGCAGAUUCUAGUUAAGUGUUCACUGGCUUUUGCCUUUAGAAACCAUGAUUCUCGCUGUCCCCCAGGGUGGUUGCACUAAAAUAGGGUUGUUUCAACUGAACGGCUGUAACCUUGAAGCAAGUGUUCUUUGUAUAAAAUCUGAAGGUUAAAAAGAAAGGGAAAUGGGAUUUGAAGACAGGUUGCUCAGUUUCCUUUAGCAAUGAACUGCAGGCAGAAGCUCUUCCAGGUAGUAUUACACACCUGCUCCCCUCACAGCCUUGGAGAGGAUCUCGGAGCGUCGGCUUUCUGCUUCCUGCACUCCGGGUCCCCGGAGUCCCUUCUGAACCUGGCCCCCGUCCUCCUGGCUCAUCAUGUGAUCUCUUGCAGAACAUCUCGUCCAACGUGCUGGAGGAAUCUGCGGUCUCCGAUGACACCCUGUCACCCGACGAGGACGGAGUGUGCUCUGGCCGGUACUUCACGGAGAGCGGCCUGGUGGGCCUCCUGGAGCAGGCCGCAGAGCUCUUCAGCACGGGAGGAUUGUACGAGAUGGUCAAUGAGGUCUACAAGCUGGUCAUCCCCAUUCUGGAAGCGCAUCGAGACUUCCGGAAGCUGACCUCCACUCAUGACAAGCUGCAGAAGGCCUUUGACAACAUCAUUAACAAGGAUCAUAAGAGAAUGUUUGGAACUUAUUUCCGAGUUGGUUUCUAUGGAUCCAAAUUUGGGGAUUUGGAUGAACAAGAAUUUGUUUACAAGGAGCCUGCAAUUACAAAGCUUCCUGAGAUCUCCCAUAGACUAGAGGGAUUUUAUGGUCAGUGUUUUGGUACAGAAUUUGUGGAAGUGAUAAAAGACUCUGCCCCUGUGGACAAAACCAAGUUGGACCCUAACAAGGUAUGUAGAAAAUUUGCUGAAAAUAACCGUCAGGCUCUGGAUGCCCUGUUCUGCCCAAGGUGUCCUCCUCUACCAGAACUUUCCAACUCAUUCAGAUGCUACCAAACCUUUUUGUCUAGGGUUCAACUACUGGUUGUGUAA
rnacentral:lncRNA from 1 species